CCAGUUCCGAGUCCGAGAUCCGUGAAUAGGCGUAUUAGAAAAUCACUUAGAAUCAUGCCCAACUUCCGAAGAUUUAGCCUGUUAAUCGUCGUCGACGUAUCGAUUUUGGAUGUGAAAAUCACGUUACAUCCGUGUCUAUGCUUGGUACUCUCAUAACGCACACGGUUUGCUCGACAAAAUGCUUCAGAGAUAUUAAACAUUCUGAUGUGAUUUGUGCGAGAAAGAUUGAUUGGUUAGAUAUUAAAACUGACUCGAUGCACAGUGAGGUUGCGGAGAGCUUUACUGAGUCUUGUGUCCUUCCUUUUUUUGUUUCAUGUACUGUAUCUUCGACAAUGGCCUUCUGACGGUGAUCAUCGGCGAGGAAAAUGAGCGAGGUUUGCUGAUAUGCGCAGUAUCGAAUCUCCGGUAAUGUACUCAAUUGCCUGGAAUUCCCUUGGUAGUUCUUUGCUUUCUGUGUACGUUCUGCAAUAUGGAGACUGUCGUCGGAAGGCCGACGGAUGGAGAAGGUGGUUCGAAUUUCAAUCGAGAAGGGCUUGAUUGACUAGCCCAUCUUCAGCUUAUUUUUAUGUGGCCCAAAUCCGACUAUUUGCCCCAUGUGCAGACCGGCCCCAAGGGCCCAGCCUGUGUCCCAUGCUAUCAGAAUAAAAAAUAAACAAAAUUUAAAAUAAAUAAAAUAUAUCGAAAAUGAAAAUUUUUAAUAAUGAUUAUAAUUAGUUUAGUUUCAUUUAGUUAGCAUACAUAUAGUGUAGGAAUUCUAUUAAGUUUAGGAUUAGGCAGUUUAAUCUUUUAGAAG
rnacentral:lncRNA from 1 species